rnacentral:rRNA from 1 species
AGUGAACGCUGGCGGUAGGCCUAACACAUGCAAGUCGAACGGCAGCACAGUAAGAGCUUGCUCUUACGGGUGGCGAGUGGCGGACGGGUGAGGAAUACAUCGGAAUCUACUUUUUCGUGGGGGAUAACGUAGGGAAACUUACGCUAAUACCGCAUACGACCUACGGGUGAAAGCAGGGGAUCUUCGGACCUUGCGCGAUUGAAUGAGCCGAUGUCGGAUUAGCUAGUUGGCGGGGUAAAGGCCCACCAAGGCGACGAUCCGUAGCUGGGCUGAGAGGAUGACCAGCCACACUGGAACUGAGACACGGUCCAGACUCCUACGGGAGGCAGCAGUGGGGAAUAUUGGACAAUGGGCGCAAGCCUGAUCCAGCCAUACCGCGUGGGUGAAGAAGGCCUUCGGGUUGUAAAGCCCUUUUGUUGGGAAAGAAAAGCAGCAGGUUAAUACCCCGCUGUUCUGACGGUACCCAACGAAUAAGCACCGGCUAACUUCGUG